UCCUGCAAGGAUGGCAAGAGCUCCUUCAAAGCACAGAAAUACACAUGGAUCUCAUGAGGGGAAUGAGGGCUGCAAAGUUGCAUGACUUCAUGACGUGCAAGUACAAUACAAUAAGGCCACAGAAGAUCUGGAUGCUUGUUUUCUAUUAAAUAUUUCUAUUUUACUAACUGUACAAGUUCUUGAAGAAACUAUUCAUAUUGAAUAAUCUGGGCAAAUUGCUAAUACAUUUGUUGUUACAGUAAGCCUGAGUGCUGUGUUUAUCCCAAAAUGAGCUAUUUUCUCAGUAUUCUGCAACAAUUUACAGUUGUGGGAAGCAAUUGUAGUAAUGUCAUAAGUGAAUACUUAUGUUUGGUGUUGCUAUUCUGGAAAAUCAAAACAAUUUUUAAACUCUAAGGACUAAAAUCUAUAUUUACAUUGUGGAGAAGCUUUCCUCCUUCAAGAUUAAGGAAAGGGCUUUAUGUAUUUAUUUAAAGGACAGCACUUCCUUCCAUCACAUUUUCCCUUGAAAACUGGGGACAUACAGUGGCUGCAUCCUGCCUUCCUGCAUGUUAACAAGGUGAGUUAUAAAAAGUAAAUGACCCUGUAUUUCCUGUUCACUGGCACUUAGACUAGCAUAAAUAGCCUCACAAUAACCUUUAGUCUUAAUAGCUUUCAUGAAAAAAGAUUUAAAUAUUUAGACCUCAUUCACAGUUAAUUUCAGAAUUUUGGAGGUCAGUCUAUCUUGAAGGAUGGGGUGUUUGUCAUGUCUGUGUUUUCAAAGAAAAUUAAACCCUAAAAUACCUUCAAAUUCUAAGAGCUGUAAAAUAAUUUUUUACCCUACAGGGGAAAGUGCAAUUAAAGUGGAGAUGGAUUUCCUGAAUAAGCUACAGAAUUUAAAAGCCUCCUUCUAACAGCUAUGGAAGAUCCAAUUUUCAUGGCAUACACAGCAGAGAAAGAAGAGGAGAAGAAUCAUCACUCCGGCAGACAGAGGAGAUUUAUGCCAACUGCAAAAACAUCUCACACAAACAUAAGAAAAGAUGAUUUGGUUCUUUCUUAAGAAUGAAGUAAUCAAAGCACAGGCCUUUUGUUUGCAGCAUAGACUUUAUUUUCUCUGUGCUGGUGAGACGUGGAAGGUCAAACUGGCUGUGCUGGGCACUGCCUGGGCUGCUUUGUCAGGACAGUGACGUGACCCUGGCUGUGUUGGUGCUGUAUUGCAGCCUGCAGAGUUACCCUACCCCUUAAUUCAUAUGCAGGAUUAGAGACUAUUUGUCCUUCUGCAAUUGAAACACUUUAACCUAGUAGGUGGACUCUUAAGUAUCAAUUUUAGAACGGCUCUGAUAUGUAGAAUGGAGCUGCAUAUGUUUACAUAAAGUUAAUUUGGUCUGAGAAAUCUAUGUGUAUGAGAAGCCUAUGUGACAGGGUGAGAAAGAAAAUGUGUUUGAUGUUGUCUUCGUUCAUGGUUUUUGCAUCUCAAAUUGAGAACUCUAUAGAAUAAUAAAUACCCACGAUUUUCCACACAGGAGGUGUUAUUUUGCUGCCGGGCAAGCAGUACUAUUCAGCUGACAAAAGCAAAUGUAUCAGGGCUCC
rnacentral:lncRNA from 13 species